rnacentral:rRNA from 1 species
GACGAACGCUGGCGGCGUGCUUAACACAUGCAAGUCGAACGGAAAGGCCCUGCUUUUGUGGGGUGCUCGAGUGGCGAACGGGUGAGUAACACGUGAGUAACCUGCCCUUGACUUUGGGAUAACUUCAGGAAACUGGGGCUAAUACCGGAUAGGAGCUCCUGCUGCAUGGUGGGGGUUGGAAAGUUUCGGCGGUUGGGGAUGGACUCGCGGCCUAUCAGCUUGUUGGUGGGGUAGUGGCUUACCAAGGCUUUGACGGGUAGCCGGCCUGAGAGGGUGACCGGCCACAUUGGGACUGAGAUGCGGCCCAGACUCCUACGGGAGGCAGCAGUGGGGAAUAUUGCACAAUGGGCGGAAGCCUGAUGCAGCAACGCCGCGUGCGGGAUGACGGCCUUCGGGUUGUAAACCGCUUUCGCCUGUGACGAAGCGUGAGUGACGGUAAUGGGUAAAGAAGCACCGGCUAACUACGUG